UGCAGCAACGCCGCGUGAGGGAUGACGGCCUCUCGGGUUGUAAACCUCUUUUAGCAAGGAAGAAGCGAAAGUGACGGUACUUGCAGAAAAAGCGCCGGCUAACUACGUGCCAGCAGCCGCGGUAAUACGUAGGGCGCAAGCGUUAUCCGGAAUUAUUGGGCGUAAAGAGCUCGUAGGCGGUUUGUCGCGUCUGCUGUGAAAACUGGAGGCUCAACCUCCAGCCUGCAGUGGGUACGGGCAGACUAGAGUGCGGUAGGGGAGAUUGGAAUUCCUGGUGUAGCGGUGGAAUGCGCAGAUAUCAGGAGGAACACCGAUGGCGAAGGCAGAUCUCUGGGCCGUAACUGACGCUGAGGAGCGAAAGGGUGGGGAGCAAACAGGCUUAGAUACCCUGGUAGUCCACCCCGUAAACGUUGGGAACUAGUUGUGGGGACCAUUCCACGGUUUCCGUGACGCAGCUAACGCAUUAAGUUCCCCGCCUGGGGAGUACGGCCGCAAGGCUAAAACUCAAAGGAAUUGACGGGGACCCGCACAAGCGGCGGAGCAUGCGGAUUAAUUCGAUGCAACGCGAAGAACCUUACCAAGGCUUGACAUAUACGAGAACGCUGCAGAAAUGUAGAACUCUUUGGACA
rnacentral:rRNA from 1 species